GCCACCGUAGCUCAGCCGGCAGAGCAACGGUUUCGUAAACCGUAGGUCAGGGGUUCAAGUCCCCUCGGUGGCU
rnacentral:tRNA from 1 species